AUUUCUCUUGUUUCUUGUGAGGUGAGUGUACGAACUGAGUUGGAAUUGCAUCAAAUCUUUCGACAUAAUCUUAGCGGUGGGUUGAUUUUGCUAAAUAUUGAAAUUAAUGGUGUGAUUGGUUGAAGAAUAAUUAAUUAGGUUCCAGGUAGUCUCCGUGUUGCUUCCACGUCAAAACAAAAUCAGGUGCGUAUUGAAAACUUUAAUUUUGCAAUUUUCGAAUAGACGAAAAUGGUGGCUGUCGACACCACACGGCCAGGCACACAGGCAUGUGACUAGGCCGUGUGCGCCACACGGGUGUGUGGCAGGUCGUGUGAAUGGCCCUGUAACUUACAGUUUACUGAAUUGGGGCCACAUGGGCAUGUGUCUAGGCCGUGUAUGGCCAUGCUAGAGCAGGGUUCACACGGGAAACAGACAUGGGUGUGUGGCUGGACCGUGUAACCCACUGUUUGUGGCACAAGAGCCAUGCGGGCAGGGACACGGGCGUGUACCCAUGCCAUGUGAGUCACACAGGUAAGGACACAGGCGUGUGUCUAGGCUGUGUAACUCACUGUUUAUGCUUAAAAACCACACGACCAAGGAACAUAAGCGUGUACCCAAACCGUGUGUCAGGUUAUCGGGCCUGAAAAUUGUGUUUUAAGGCAAAAAAUGUUACUUAACCUUGAUACUGGUUUCCUCAACAUAUGAAUAAUCGAAUUUAAUUAUAUGAGAACUGUCUAAUACAUUGGGACUAAUCCAUGAGUAACAAUAUUAUAUGUGCACUGUGAUAUCUGCUCUGUUUUGGAACUAUCUUUGUUAAUUGUAUAAUAAGUUAGAAUGAUUGAACAUAUGUUACGGGUAUUUGUGUUCUGCAUUGGCAUGUGUUAGGAGGUUGUGAAAAGGGAAGGAAUCUGUACUGAAAUCGUGGCUAUGCCAUAGUGAGUAUUACUCUAAUUUUGGCACUUGUCGCAUAUUAAUCUAGCAGCUAAGCUGCGUUUCUAUGAAAGUGGCAAUGAACACUCUAAAGGUGUGCAGGGAUGGAUGAGCAUUAAAAGUCCAUAGUGGUGUGUUGAGAUGGCCGAAUGGUGUGUAGAGGAUAGAAAUAGGAAUAUUGCAUUUGAAUCGGAUCUGAACCAUGUUUGAACUAAAAUUAUAUAUAUGUACAUAUAUGUAACAUUUUUGCUCUGAAUCUAGAUUGAACAUGCUUCUAUGUCAAAC
rnacentral:lncRNA from 1 species